CGAGUGGGACAAAAACCAGUUUAGAACCUACACGUACAGAUACGGGCAGGGGUUCUAUGAUGUCCUGGUAGUUGAUGACGUUCGACAACUGAAAUCUGGAGAGCUUAUGGCUGUCGGAUGUCAUGUAAAACCAGGUCGAGAUGGCAAAUUUAGAAAUGUCCACGCGUGGAACAAAGGUGUUGUUAUCAAGAUGAAACCGCCAAAAGCAAGGGUACGAUGGGACAGCGGGAUAAGAGGAGAAUACAGUUAUGGCCAGGACGGCAAAUUAGAGAUAGAAAUUUGGUACGCAUGUUUGCAAACAAUUA